ACGCACGCUGGCGGCGUGCUUAACACCUGCAGGUCGAACGGUGAAGCGCCUUCCUUUUUGGUGGGUGUGGAUGAGUGGCGAACGGGUGAGUAACACGUGAGUAACCUGCCCCCUUCUUCUGGAUAACCGCAUGAAAGUGUGGCUAAUACGGGAUAUUCUGGGUCUGUCGCAUGAUGGGUCUGGGAAAGAUAUUGUUUCGGUGGGGGAUGGGCUCGCGGCCUAUCAGCUUGUUGGUGGGGUGUUGGCCUACCAAGGCGGUGACGGGUAGCCGGCCUGAGAGGGUGGACGGUCACACUGGGACUGAGACACGGCCCAGACUCCUACGGGAGGCAGCAGUGGGGAAUAUUGCACAAUGGGCGCAAGCCUGAUGCAGCGACGCCGCGUGAGGGAUGGAGGCCUUCGGGUUGUGAACCUCUUUCGCCAGUGAAGCAGGCCUGCCUCGUUUGUGGGUGGGUUGACGGUAGCUGGAUAAGAAGCGCCGGCUAACUACGUG
rnacentral:rRNA from 1 species